rnacentral:rRNA from 1 species
AUUGAACGCUGGCGGCAGGCCUAACACAUGCAAGUCGAACGGUAACAGGAAACAGCUUGCUGUUUCGCUGACGAGUGGCGGACGGGUGAGUAAUGUCUGGGAAACUGCCUGAUGGAGGGGGAUAACUACUGGAAACGGUAGCUAAUACCGCAUAACGUCGCAAGACCAAAGAGGGGGACCUUCGGGCCUCUUGCCAUCGGAUGUGCCCAGAUGGGAUUAGCUAGUAGGUGGGGUAACGGCUCACCUAGGCGACGAUCCCUAGCUGGUCUGAGAGGAUGACCAGCCACACUGGAACUGAGACACGGUCCAGACUCCUACGGGAGGCAGCAGUGGGGAAUAUUGCACAAUGGUCGCAAGCCUGAUGCAGCCAUGCCGCGUGUAUGAAGAAGGCCUUCGGGUUGUAAAGUACUUUCAGCGGGGAUGAAGGGAGUAAAGUUAAUACCUUUGCUCAUUGACGUUACCCGCAGAAGAAGCACCGGCUAACUCCGUG